rnacentral:miRNA from 1 species
CACCUCAUCAAUUGGAAGGGAUACCUUCCAAUCAAUGAGGUAUUUGCACCUCAUCAAUUGGAAGGGAUACCUUCCAAUCAAUGAGGUA